CGAAGAGUUUCUCUUACCUGCCAACCAACCUUUCGGAAUGAGGUAUCCUUCAUACUCAAUGUCUUUUAAUGUCUUUCUGAAUCCUCCAAAAAUUGGAGGAAUCAUUCUCAGAUUCUCCAUUGCCACUCUCCAAGUGUACUUUAUCUUGGCAAGAUCUUCCCAUGUCAAAAAACUGUGGAGAUAUGGGGCACAAUGAUGUUGAUAUGUGGCAACAUGAUGUUGAUGACUUGGAUACUGAUUGGAUUGUUUGGUUGAAGUUUUGGAUGGACUAUUUGUUAUGGUUGACCCCUAUCUGCAUUUUUACAAACACGUGUUGAGUGAAAUGCGAUUUCUUUAGUGGGUUUGAUGCAUGAAAUGAUGCCAAGUAUCACCCUAUCAAUCGUUGGAUGGCUGACCUUCUGGUGACUUCUUAUAAUACCCAUUCAUCUGCCUAGGGUUAGAUAGAUGAAUUCAUUAUUCACUCUCUCUAAGUCUCGAAGUUCUUGUAACUUUUUCUCUUUCUCUAGAUAAAUCUUGAGUGAUUUGUAAUCUUGUAGAGUCGUGUGUUCUUGAGUGAAUUUUGAUGUAUAGAUCGAGAGGUUUAUAUGAUGUAAUUUUGAGUGAUUCAUCCCGAGUGCCAAAAAGUUGUAUUUUGGAUGGUUUCUUUGGUUCUGGUUUUUUAAUACAGUGGUUUCUUCCGGUGGCGGAAGUUCAAAAGGGGUAUAGGAAUUCUAUUCUGAACCUCUUGGGUUAGGCCAAAAAUCU
rnacentral:lncRNA from 1 species